rnacentral:tRNA from 1 species
GUUAAUGUAGCUUAAGCUUAAAGCAAGGCACUGAAAAUGCUUAGAUGAGUACACCAACUCCAUAAACA